rnacentral:rRNA from 1 species
AGCGGCGGACGGGUGAGUAAUGUCUGGGAAACUGCCUGAUGGAGGGGGAUAACUACUGGAAACGGUAGCUAAUACCGCAUAACGUCGCAAGACCAAAGAGGGGGACCUUCGGGCCUCUUGCCAUCAGAUGUGCCCAGAUGGGAUUAGCUAGUAGGUGGGGUAACGGCUCACCUAGGCGACGAUCCCUAGCUGGUCUGAGAGGAUGACCAGCCACACUGGAACUGAGACACGGUCCAGACUCCUACGGGAGGCAGCAGUGGGGAAUAUUGCACAGUGGGCGCAAGCCUGAUGCAGCCAUGCCGCGUGUAUGAAGAAGGCCUUCGGGUUGUAAAGUACUUUCAGCGGGGAGGAAGGUGUUGAGGUUAAUAACCUCAGCUAUUGACGUUACCCGCAGAAGAAGCACCGGCUAACUCCGUGCCAGCAGCCGCGGUAAUACGGAGGGUGCAAGCGUUAAUCGGAAUUACUGGGCGUAAAGCGCACGCAGGCGGUCUGUCAAGUCAGAUGUGAAAUCCCCGGGCUC